rnacentral:lncRNA from 1 species
AGAAAAUAGCUACAGUACUUUAGUAUGGGUUCCAUCUUCCCAUUCCCUGCUGUCAAAUAAGCUGCUGAACAUAAACUUUUUUUAACCAACACAAAAUGGAUCUAGGAGUUUGAUACAUUACUGUAUGUUUUCUGAAGUCACAGAGAGCAGUUUCAAUAUAACCAGUUGACUGGCUCUAAGGAAAUGCACAAAACAUGAAUAUCAACCAUGGCCAGCUCUUCCAAAAGUGAUUGUUAUGCUGAGACUCAUCAUGCUUUCUGCAGCAAAAGCGAU